ACCCCAGUGGCCUAAGGCCUAAGGUUCUGGCCUCCUAAGCCAGGAGCUGUGGGUUUGAGUCCUGUCUGGGGUG